AGUAAACAUGAAAGCAAACACAACAGAAUGCCACUGGGAACAGAAGCUUCUAGGCUGAAGGACUGCAGGCCACUUAACACUGUAAAUGGGGAAGAGGAAUGGAUGAAGUAGCAGAACAGGAUCUGGACUAUGGAAGCUUCUGGAAAAUUCUAGUAAAACUUUAGACUACUGUCUUGUAUUUCUUUCAGUAGUCUGCAAAGAAAAGUUGACAGCAGUUUGAGCAGGCUGGGUGCAUGGAUUCUGCUAAAAGCAUUUUUGCUGAGCAAAACUAGAGGAAUGUGCAGAUUGCCGAUACAAGCAGCCCAUUGUACCAGAGCUUCAUCUUGAAAGUUGUCCGCACUUCGCAGCCCAUUGUACCAGAGCUUCAUCUUGAAAGUUGUCCGCACUUCGCAGCCCAUUGUACCAGAGCUUCAUCUUGAAAGUUGUCCGCG